rnacentral:rRNA from 1 species
AGGUGCGAUCAUACCAGCACUAAUGCACCGGAUCCCAUCAGAACUCCGCAGUCAAGCGUGCUUGGUCGAGAGUAGUACUAGGAUGGGUGACCUCCUGGGAAGUCCUCGUGUUGCACUUCUUU